GCCCUGGUACCCCAACGGCAGAGGGAGCGGAUUCAAAACCCGCACAGUGUGGGUUCAAAUCCCACCCAGGGCA
rnacentral:tRNA from 1 species